rnacentral:misc_RNA from 1 species
UUUUCACAUUAGUUCAAUUAAAAUAGGAUUUAGGUACGCUGGAAUAUCUUACAUUAUAGAUAAAACACUCGUUAACAAAUGUGAUAUCACAUACAAAGAAAUUUAAACUCGAGAUCUCUAAUGUCCAUGCCAGAUUAAGGGUGUUUUCGGUACUAAUGCAUUCCUCUGUUUCCAUUUGCAGAUGGAAGUUGGCCUGCUUCAAUCUUAAGCCGCUGCAGUUCUUCCCUCAACGUAUCAUUUAGAGCAUCUCUAAGGUGUGCUUGUUGUUCCAAAGCUUGCAACCGAAAUUUCAGUUCUUUGUUUUCAGCAUUUAGUCCAGAAGUGUCUCUCUGUAGAACUGUGAUCUGAGCGGAUAGAGUGGUGGCUUCAGUCUGCAGAGUCUGCACUUUCCUCUCUAGCUCACUAGUGUAACGAGUUUUUCGCUCCUUGGAACGUGCAGCAGAUUGUCUGUUUGCUAGGAUCCUUUUAGCUCUUUUGGGAUCAAUCAAGGACAGCUCAGCAAGCCUAUCAGGAGCCAUAGCCUUCUUAACAGAAAUCGAUUCAGACUCAAACGAC